rnacentral:rRNA from 1 species
CCUACGGGUGUCAGCAGUGGGGAAUAUUGGACAAUGGGGGGAACCCUGAUCCAGCGACGCCGCGUGAGUGAAGAAGUAUUUCGGUAUGUAAAGCUCUAUCAGCAGGGAAGAAAGAAAUGACGGUACCUGACUAAGAAGCCCCGGCUAACUACGUGCCAGCAGCCGCGGUAAUACGUAGGGGGCAAGCGUUAUCCGGAUUUACUGGGUGUAAAGGGAGCGUAGACGGCGAUGCAAGUCUGAAGUGAAAGGCGGGGGCUCAACCUCCGGACUGCUUUGGAAACUGUAUGGCUGGAGUGCAGGAGAGGUAAGUGGAAUUCCUAGUGUAGCGGUGAAAUGCGUAGAUAUUAGGAGGAACACCAGUGGCGAAGGCGGCUGACUGGACUGUAACUGACGUUGAGGCUCGAAAGCGUGGGGAGCAAACAGGAUUAGAUACCCCAGUAGUC